GGGGAAUGCCUAGGCUCUCAGAGGCGAUGAAGGACGUGAUAAGCUGCGAAAAGCUACGGGGAUUGGCACAUACAAACUGAUCCGUAGAUAUCCGAAUGGGGCAACCCAGCAUGUUGAAGACAUGUUAUCCGCAAGGAGGCAAACCCGGAGAACUGAAACAUCUAAGUACCCGGAGGAAAGGAAAUCAAUAUGAUACUCCCCUAGUAGCGGCGAGCGAACGGGGACCAGCCGAGCCAUGAGUGUGAUUAGAAUGCGUUGGAAUGCGCAACCAGAGUGGGUGAUAGUCCCGUAUAAGAAGCAUGAUUGGACGUAUUAAGUAGGGCGGAACACGUGAAAUUCUGUCUGAAGAUCGGAGGACCACCUUCGAAGGCUAAGUACUCCUUACUGACCGAUAGUGAACCAGUACCGUGAGGGAAAGGUGAAAAGCACCCCGACGAGGGGAGUGAAACAGUACCUGAAACCGAACGCCUACAAUCAGUUGGAGGGGCCUAUGCGCCCUGACAGCGUACCUUUUGUAUAAUGGGUCAUCGACUUGGUCUCACAAGCAAGCUUAAGCCGUUAGGUGUAGGCGUAGCGAAAGCGAGUCUUAAUAGGGCGUUGAGUUUGUGGGAUCAGACCCGAAACCGAGUGAUCUAGGCAUGGCCAGGUUGAAGGUAAGGUAACACUUACUGGAGGACCGAACCCACAUCCGUUGAAAAGGAUCGGGAUGAGCUGUGCCUAGGGGUGAAAGGCCAAUCAAACUCGGAGAUAGCUGGUUCUCUGCGAAAUCUAUUUAGGUAGAGCGUCAUCCGAAUACCCUCGGGGGUAGAGCACUGGAUGGGUAAUGGGGCCCCACAGGCUUACUGAUCCUAACCAAACUCCGAAUACCGAGGAGUACUAGAUGGCAGACACACGGCGAAUGCUAACGUCCGUCGUGAAGAGGG
rnacentral:rRNA from 1 species